rnacentral:lncRNA from 1 species
UUCGAUCCGAUACUUGAAGCAGGUGAUUUACCAAUAGGAGACAAUGAUAUACUCCUACUUUUUUUUUGUCUCCUCUAGUUCAUUGGAGAGCGACUUUUAUGUUGUCUGGUGGCUGAAGAACGACUUUUGCGGCGCCUUGGGGACAGUGAACGACUCCGUUUUCUGUAUAACAACGAUUAACAUUUAAGCAAGAACAUAUAUUGGCAGCAGAAAUCAUAAAAUCCACAGACAUGCUAACCCGUCUUCCAAAUCAG